rnacentral:rRNA from 1 species
AGAUUGAACGCUAGCGGGAUGCUUUACACAUGCAAGUCGAACGGCAGCGCGGACUUCGGUCUGGCGGCGAGUGGCGAACGGGUGAGUAAUAUAUCGGAACGUGCCCAGUAGCGGGGGAUAACUACGCGAAAGCGUGGCUAAUACCGCAUACGCCCUACGGGGGAAAGGGGGGGAUCGCAAGACCUCUCACUAUUGGAGCGGCCGAUAUCAGAUUAGCUAGUUGGUGAGGUAAAGGCUCACCAAGGCGACGAUCUGUAGCUGGUUUGAGAGGACGACCAGCCACACUGGGACUGAGACACGGCCCAGACUCCUACGGAGGCAGCAGUGGGGAAUUUUGGACAAUGGGGGAAACCUGAUCCAGCCAUCCCGCGUGUGCGAUGAAAGGCCUGGUUGUAACGUUAGUCGUU